GCCGUUGUAGCUCAGCUGGUAGAGCGCGUCCUUGGUAAGGACGAGGUCACCGGUUCAAUCCCGGUCAACGGCUCCA
rnacentral:tRNA from 2 species